UUUUGGCCACUAGAUGGCCUUCAUCUGCCCGUGUCGGCAGUAAUGCCCCCUCUACCCAUCAAUGGAUAUUAAGCCGGACAUCGUUUUCCUUCAGUAUGAUAUCCUCACUCUGCUAUUUAUGAUUCUGUGCAAGCUGACAUUUCUCUCAUUUCAACAGAACAACAACAAAGAAAGGGCUUCACUGAAAGCUUUUGCUAACCGCCGCUGGGAACCUCGUUGAAAGGAAAAUUUAUAUAUGUAUCUUAAUUUGUGCGAUUGACUCUCAACAUAUUCAUGUUCGUAUAUACUAGGGAUGAUUGGUACCGUUAUUUCUGUGUCACAGUGACA